rnacentral:rRNA from 1 species
GACGAACGCUGGCGGCGUGCCUAAUACAUGCAAGUUGAGCGCUGAAGGUUGGUACUUGUACCAACUGGAUGAGCAGCGAACGGGUGAGUAACGCGUGGGGAAUCUGCCUUUGAGCGGGGGACAACAUUUGGAAACGAAUGCUAAUACCGCAUAAAAACUUUAAACACAAGUUUUAAGUUUGAAAGAUGCAAUUGCAUCACUCAAAGAUGAUCCCGCGUUGUAUUAGCUAGUUGGUGAGGUAAAGGCUCACCAAGGCGAUGAUACAUAGCCGACCUGAGAGGGGGAGCAGCCACACUGGGACUGAGACACGGCCCAAACUCCCACGGGAGGCAGCAGUAGGGAAUCUUCGGCAAUGGACGAAAGUCUGACCGAGCAACGCCGCGGGAGUGAAGAAGGAUUUCGGGUCGUAAAACUCUGUUGGUAGAGAAGAACGUUGGUGAGAGUGGAAAGCUCAUCAAGUGACGGUAACUACACAGAAAGCGACGGCUAACUACGUG